rnacentral:lncRNA from 1 species
AAUAAGGGUCAUGUGUUUGUUAAAUCUAAACCCCAGCCAACCCAGGCCAUCUUCUCAUCAUGUUUGAUUUUGCGAUCCAGCUGGGUGUUUUUAGGAAGACUGGAAAUCUGGAUAGAAGCAGAAGCUAUCAGGAACCUCUUGCUUCACUGGGCACAAUCCACAACCUUUCAGGCACUGCUUGAAACUCAGAAUUUAUUAAGAAGUCAAACGGGAAGCUUCAUUUCAACCUGGGAAUUUCAGGAAAAUUCUGUCACACAAACACUGAGGAGGAAGAUGAAGAGCGAUGACCUGUUUUGGACAUUGACAGAGAGCUUCUGGUGGUUUCACCACGUGUGGAGUCACAUGCAGGCUCAUCUCUUCCACAAUGAGUUGUCAGUGGUGGAGUAGAAGACCCUCAGCAAAGAAUUUGAUUUAAUGAGUCUCUGAGUUUUAAUGUCAUUUAUACUGCAGCAGGGUUACAACAGUGUAUAUUUCAUAGCAGUGCUGCAGUUUUCACAUGCAAUUCAUGUAUGUGAUGAGAUGAUCAGAAAUCUGUGUGCUGGAUAAAAGGAGCGUUUUUUUCUUUCACAUUCACAGUUUUCUUGGAAUCUCAGUAAUAUAUGAUCCAAUAGCAAUAAAUGGGACGUAGGAGUUAGUAAYGGUUACA